UACGUAGGGGGCAAGCGUUGUCCGGAAUUAUUGGGCGUAAAGGGCGCGCAGGCGGUUUCUUAAGUCUGAUGUGAAAUCUCGUGGCUCAACCAUGAGUGGUCAUUGGAAACUGGGGAACUUGAGUACAGAAGAGGAGAGCGGAAUUCCACGUGUAGCGGUGAUAUGCGUAGAUAUGUGGAGGAACACCAGUGGCGAAGGCGGCUCUCUGGUCUGUGACUGACGCUGAGGCGCGAAAGCGUGGGGAGCGAAAGGG
rnacentral:misc_RNA from 1 species